GACGAACGCUGGCGGCGUGCUUAACACAUGCAAGUCGAACGAAGUGGCGAACGGGUGAGUAACGCGUAAUCAACCUGCCCUUCAGAGGGGGACACCAGUUGGAACCGACUCCUAAUACCGCAUACUGAAGGAGGGGAUUGCGUCGGAUUAGCUCGUUGGAGGGGGAACGGCCCACCAAGGCGAUGAUCAGUAGGCGGUCUGAGAGGAGGAACGGCCAACUUGGGAAUGGGGAACGGGCCAGAAUUCUAAGGGAGGGAGGAGUGGGGAAUCUUCCGAAAUUGACGAAAGUCUGACGGAGCAACGCCGCGGGAGUGAUGAAGGCCUUCGGGUUGUAAAGCUCUGUUAAUCGGGACGCGGUACCGGAAUAGAAAGCCACGGCUAACUACGUGCCAGCAGCCGCGGUAAUAC
rnacentral:rRNA from 1 species